GAUGAACGCUGGCGGCGUGCCUAAUACAUGCAAGUCGAGCGAACAGACGAGGAGCUUGCUCCUCUGACGUUAGCGGCGGACGGGUGAGUAACACGUGGAUAACCUACCUAUAAGACUGGGAUAACUUCGGGAAACCGGAGCUAAUACCGGAUAAUAUAUUGAACCGCAUGGUUCAAUAGUGAAAGACGGUUUUGCUGUCACUUAUAGAUGGAUCCGCGCCGCAUUAGCUAGUUGGUAAGGUAACGGCUUACCAAGGCGACGAUGCGUAGCCGACCUGAGAGAGUGUUCGGCCACACUGGAACUGAGACACGGUCCAGACUCCUACGGGAGGCAGCAGUAGGGAAUCUUCCGCAAUGGGCGAAAGCAUGACGGAGCAACGCCGCGUGAGUGAUGAAGGUCUUCGGAUCGUAAAACUCUGUUAUUAGGGAAGAACAAAUGUGUAAGUAACUAUGCACGUCUUGACGGUACCUAAUCAGAAAGCCACGGCUAACUACGUG
rnacentral:rRNA from 1 species